rnacentral:rRNA from 1 species
CCCCUACGGGGGGCAGCAGUGGGGAAUAUUGCACAAUGGGCGCAAGCCUGAUGCAGCCAUGCCGCGUGUAUGAAGAAGGCCUUCGGGUUGUAAAGUACUUUCAGCGGGGAGGAAGGGAGUAAAGUUAAUACCUUUGCUCAUUGACGUUACCCGCAGAAGAAGCACCGGCUAACUCCGUGCCAGCAGCCGCGGUAAUACGGAGGGUGCAAGCGUUAUCCGGAUUUAUUGGGUUUAAAGGGUGCGUAGGCGGACUGUUAAGUCAGCGGUAAAAGCCCGGGGCUCAACCCCGGCGAGCCGUUGAAACU